AGUAAAAAUUUCAUGCAUUUCAGAAUUUAUCACUUACCUACAGUUCAACCCAAAGUUGGAGCAGAUUUUAUUUCGAAUUUGAAUAGUAGCAUCUUUGAAAUUUUCCAAGAUUUUUUUAUAAAAUUCUGAGCACGAAAACAUUUAGAUCAUGCUAAUCUUGAGAAGCUUAUGAAGGAAUAGAGGAGGAAGAGAUGUUUUAGUAAAUCUCAUUUGCGUUUAUUUUCAUUCAGCCCCUGCCUUUGACACUGGCCAGUGGGUGAGUCCAGCAGCGCCAUCUAGCAAGGACAACGGACACGCGGCCGCAAACCAGCUGCCCCUUCCCUCCUCACUUCAUAUCCUCUUCUCUUGGAUCCCCUCUCUCGUCUAGCUCGCCGGGGGCACCGCCGCUCGUCGUUGCAACGCCGGUCACAGGAACCGGCGGGAUUCGGCAGCCCUCAGUCUGGAUCGACGUCCAUGCCUCCAGCUUCGACAUGCACGCCAGCUGGACGGCGCCGUGAAUCGCCUCGUUUUCUAGUGCGUUCUUGCUCCCAGCGUGCAGGAACCUCUUGGACCGAGGCCGCCUUCCUCGGUUCCGUCAGCCGCCGCGGUCGUCAUCCUCACCGAACAGCUAUAGGGACUUUGAGGGGCUCUGCUUUGUCCACAUCUGCUCUGGACCACAGAUUUGAAGCCGCGGAUCCCUCCUACUUCUUCCUGACGCUGACCGCCAUUACCACUGCCCAUAGCUCGUUGCUCUGCUCUGUCCGACCUCGCCACUAACAGCAGGGUGAGAAAUCGCCGCCGCUGUUGGUGUUGUUUGCUACUUGCCGUUGUCGCUUCAUGCUGCUGGUCACUUGUUGCUUGCCGUUGAUGCUCAAUGAUGUUAGCCGUGACCUGCCUGUAGAUGAGAGAAAGAGAGAUUGAUUUGCUAGUGCAAGUAUCUAAUGAGCCAGAUGCCAGCUGUUUUGAUCUUUUCAGCAAACGCUAUUGGGAAGGUAAAACGUUCUCUGAAUAUUUUUUCUAUACCCUAUCAAGCCAAUGACGUGGUACAAAGGAAUUAGUGAGAAAGUUUUGUGUGUUACCUUAUCAUAUAGAUGCAAGUAGUUUGGGAAAAGCAACUUCCGCCUAUCAUCUAUGACAAAUAAAAUGCAUAGGAAUAAUAAAAAGAAUUACUAUGGCUUUUAUGCUAUCGCAUUUGCUUGAUCGAAACUAUCAUCUUGGGGUUAGCCUAGAACUCCUCGCAAACUGCUGCUACCAAGCCAUGUUCUUUACAGUCCGCAAUGCUACGACUAAUAAUUUACUCAGGCUACAUAACUCGGGUUGCAAUUUCUAAGUAUUCUUUUCAUACUCAUUUGUGUCUAUGUCAUAAUUGAUGAUUAUGAUGAAAUUUCUUCUACAUGUGUUCUGAUAUGUUUCUCAUAUACUGCAGUUGUGAGUGUGGGAGCGACACUGUUUUUAUUUCAGUAACUUGCUGGCAUAAAUGUUGCCGUGUACUACUCUACGUCCAUGUUCCACAGUACAGGUCUUGCAUCUAAUGUUGCAGCGAGUGCUCUUGUUCGGUGAUGCCAAUGUUUUUGGCACCAUGAUUGCAUCUCCACUGAUGGUCAAGCAAGGAAGGAAGAGCCUUCUCAUAACAAGAUUAUCUGGAAUGGCUUGUCGAUGUUACUCUUGUCAUUGUCCUUCACUUGGAAGGCUUUAGCACCUUAUUAUGGCACUCUUGCUGUUGUUGGCACUGUCCUGUAAGUGGUUUACAUUCACCUAAUAUGGUGUUCUCCUGGUUUUUCAUUAUCACUAAUUUUAGCUCAUAACUAACUCCAAAUCUUGAUAGUAAUUUUAUGAGUGCGGUGUGAGCACACAACACCCACAAACCAAUUUCAGUAAUCUCCGUAAGCCACUUAAGUGCGGUGUGAGCACCCCACUUUAAUAUUUGACCCGCCUAACAUAUAUAACCAAUGUUUACUCCAUCACACAAUCCUUGUGCUCCAGCUUCUAAUCUUCAAAUCAUACAUCAGAUGUAGCAUCAUCUACGACAUGGGUGUUCCUUUAGUAGUUGUAAACAUCUAGAUGCCAAUACCUACAGGAAGUUAAGCUAGGGAUUAGAAAUCUAAGUUCAAUCGCAGCCCACAGGGCCUGGGGGACGGGGAAAGUUUUUGACUGUACCUGAUGUGUUGGCGAUAUUUAAAGGCUAACACAAUCAUCAUUCUGUUUAAAUGGUUUCCCUGGUUCUUAUCAAGGGCAGGUCUAGCGCGGUAAUCACCUGUGGCAUGGUCAUUCCUCCAGAAACAAUUAUUUCUGUAGAGAGAUAAUAGUAGAAACUUAAGAUUAGAAAUUCAGGUGAUAUAGUAAAAGUGCUAUUAAAAAGACCAUCAAACUUAGCAACCGCAAAAAGGAGGCACUACCAAAAUAAGCUUAUGCUAGAUUGAGAUGUUACAAAAAAACAACGAACAAGAGGAUACGAUGAUAUCUGAGUGAUUUCUGGUAGAGAACCUAACAACAACAACAUAUAGUAUUCGCAAGUGUUCAUAGGAUUUAGCAGUUAAAGGAACCGCUCUAAAAGACAUCACAUUACCAGAUAAAUGUGUAAAGGCCCCAUAACCUUGAAGUAUCUCUAGCUGGCCUUUUCAGGGCUUGCACAACAAAUUUAUGUACGAGAGACUGAUUUAAACCACCUUAUAUAUAGACUAUAGGUUAAUCCUGAUAAGCUAACUAUUAAGAUAAGCCUAGCCAGGCUACAUUAGACUUGAUUGUUUGGGUGAACCUUUACACUCUUGAUAUUUAAGUGUUUAGUUGUCACAAAUUACAACUAAAGGAUAACACUUUCUUGAAAGUGAACUAUUUCAAGAAUGAGGUAACACAGAAAAAGAGCACACACAAGUAUGGUAUGAAUCUUUAUGUAGCUAAUAAUGAAAAUUAUAAAUCAAAAUUCUUGAAAGCAUAUAAAUGAGUAAAUUAUCCAGAAUGAAGCAUUCAAAUAUUGUUGAUGCCAUGAAUCCAUCUGUAGAAAGCGUUGUGCAUAAACAAGUACCUGAAGAAUCAUGCUCGAUGUUAUAAACCCAAAUGCGUAUUCACCAGCACGAGGAUGGCUAAUUAUUGCCACUUCUUUAAAUGCUGAUGUAUUUUGAUAUGUCAAAUGAAUAAAACACAUUUUAAGAAUUUUUUUCUGGUUGGACAGAAGAAUAUUCCAUCAUUUUAUUCUCUCUAGUUAAGCAGUCGUGCAUGAUACAUUAUGUGUCAUAAUGAAUCGGUCCCGAUUGUAAAUUAUUCUCUUAUGAGCAGAAUAUGGCUUAAAGAAUUAGACAAGUGCAAAAAGCUACAAACAGCAGUACGUCACACAUGCAACCUUUUUAUGUAUAAGCAACAAAAAUUGUUAUAUCAUAUAUCUCCAGUGGCGAAAUAUUACGCAAGGGUUAACACAAAAUUAGCAUGGUAAAGUAUAUACAUUUACGGAGAAGAGACCAAUACCUGAGAUGCAUUAGGAAUCAUCAAUCAAGCUGUUGGCAUGGAAAAUAAAACCAUAGAUGUAUUAAUCUUCUGACUGAAGGUGGAAUCAGCCAAGCUUCCCACCUUGACAUAAGAGGUGAGUUUCACUAUCAAAAUAUAUCAAUGCACAACCAUAAAUCAAUGCACUAAAAGCUCAUAACAUCAGAUUUUUGUUCAAGCAAUCACAACUUGAUCAUAUGAACCAUGCACUUGUAAUCAUCAUUCAGGAGGUAGAAUAUCAAAUCGAAAGAAAAACGGAAGAAGGAUUCUAGGAAUCGUGAUGCCUCAAAAGGAAGGCAGUAGUAUGAGGAAGAGGACCUCACCUUAAUGUCGAAGGCAGCAAGGCAUCAAAACCAGAAUGUAGAACAGAGGAUUGAAGAAAACUUGGUUAGACCAUUUGACUGCGUCCCUCUCAGAUCUGAGUCCUGUAAACCAUCUCGCUAUCCGCACCCACUGCGUCCCUCUUAGAUCCGACUCCUGUAAAAACACUAAACUCCAACUAAGAGGGAGAACAUGAGCUAAGCGCAAACACGACAAAAAACAGAAGAAAAUAAUGUUUGAGAAGAAUGGAAAAGAUAGAUAAUGUUUUAUCUCAGAUGUCAACCACAAGGGUAAGCCUGUAUUAUGUAGACAUAUCAACAUGGCAUCAGUUCAGAUCACCCAUCUGCUUGUAUGAUUUUCAUGGAGAAAGAUUUUAAACCAAAAAUCAUCAACAAAGAACAAAUCAAGUCAAAACAUUAUCAACUCAUCAAGAGGCCAAAAUAGAGACCAGAUAGCAAAAAAAAAGAUAGCUGAAAAAACAAAAAUGAAUAGCCAAAUCAUAAGUUGUUGCGACAGAUCCCUCAGAGUGAUAACAUAGAUCUCAUCAAUGUAUGAAUCAGGCCAUUGCUUUUUAACAUCACAAAUAUUCAGCGGGAUCCACGAACGACAAUCUCCAAUCCAUAGAAAGAAAAAUCAAACAGAAACCAUAUGCAGCAUCCUCAGCUCAAGUCCGCAGUUAUUUGACAUUGAGAAUUUCACAAAAAAUGGACAAGCUGUCAGACAAUGGUUUUUAGGCAAAUGCAUCUCCAUCAGACCACAACGAUGUUUGCUGCUCAUAUUUUCAUCCAGGACACCAGAAGAGACACACAACCAAAUAAUAGUAGAA